CAUAUACUCCCUCCGUUCGGAAUUACUUGUCUCGAAAAUGGAUGUAUCUAGAACUAAAAUACAUCUAGAUACAUCCAUUUCUAUGACAAGUAAUUCCGAACGGAGGGAGUAGUAU
rnacentral:pre_miRNA from 1 species